rnacentral:tRNA from 1 species
AAGUUUAGGUUAACCC